rnacentral:lncRNA from 1 species
CGUAUUUAUGCAAUUAUAUAAAGAUUUACACUGUAAUUCGAUACUCGAUAGUUGUUUCUAUGUACAGAAUGAUAUAAAAUUUAAUUUAUCAUUCGAAUCGCGUUAAAUCAAACCUUCAAAUGUUUCCAGAUUAAACUAAUUUUCCAUAAACGGUUAAAAGAAAAAAAAAAUUGGGUUUUCAUCAACUUGGCAGUGGUCGCAGCAGUACAUCAGUUCAUCGGAUUUUCUUUUCCUCUCGAAUAAAUUUUUGGAAAGAAAGGAGAAGAAUAAAAAAAAAGAAAAAUCAAUUUUGCAAGUUGAAUAGUAAAAUUUUUAAAUGAUCAUUUCGAUAUGCGAAGAUUUUGGUCAUUAAUUUUACGUCAGUCAAAUGCAGCGUGUAAUUAUGUCCUUGGAGUUGAGAUUCGUUACCUCCUAAUGUUUCAGUAUCAGGUGGUGAUAGUUCCCAUUUUCGAAUUGGUAGAGGUAAUCUUACAUCAUCUCUCUUUAGUUUCGCUACAGGUUGUAAGUGUAAGAAAUUCUGCAUGCAGAACUUCUUUCAGUUACCUUAUCGCAGACACCAAUGUAAAUAUAAAAUACAGUUGCGACUUUUUUUUAAAUUUUUGAUGGUUUCUCUAACGUUGGCAAGUGAAAGGAUUUUAUAUAAGAAACUGACAGAAAGACUGCCUUUUUUUAAUUUUAAAUUCAUCGAAAGCAG